AUUGAACGCUGGCGGCAGGCCUAACACAUGCAAGUCGAGCGGCUGAAGGGAGCUUGCUCCUGGAUUCAGCGGCGGACGGGCGGGUAAUGCCUAGGUAUCUGCGUGUUAGCGGUGGCUAGCGUGCGGACACGGGGGCAAAUACCGCAAUAGUCCUGAGGGCCUACGUGGGGAAGCAUCGGAUCUUCGGACCUUACACGAGCCUAUGUCGGAUUAGCUAGUUGGUGGGGUAAAGGCCUACCAAGGCGACGAUCCGUAACUGGUCUGAGAGGAUGAUCAGUCACACUGGAACUGAGACACGGUCCAGACUCCUACGGGAGGCAGCAGUGGGGAAUAUUGGACAAUGGGCGAAAGCCUGAUCCAGCCAUGCCGCGUGGGUGAAGAAGGUCUUCGGAUUGUAAAGCACUUUAAGUGGGGAAGAAAAGCAGUAAGUUAAUACCUUGCUGUUUUGACGGUACCAACAGAAUAAGCACCGGCUAACUUCGUG
rnacentral:rRNA from 1 species